AUUCAUUUAAAGCCUGACCCUCAACAAGCCUAACUCCCAAGCCUCCUUCAAAUUUAAAGACUUUGGAUAACAUGCUAUUGCCUCUACACACUCUCUGAGACACUCUAGAAACUGCAGAGAUUUGUACAGCAUUUAUUGGCUGCACAGAACGCAGCAGAGGACGCCGGACAAUGAUGCGCUCCUGGUCCCGGGACCUGGCUGUCUGGCAGAGAGACGGGCAAGGGAGGAAAUCAUCUCGAAUCUCACAGCAAGUGGAGAAAUGUCCAGAGUUUGCUCAAUGAUAUAUUUCAAAGAUCACCAACAGGUGCUGCAGGCAGAAGCGACAACUGAGUCCUGUAAAGAAGACAAGAUUCAGCAGGGGAAGGAAGG
rnacentral:lncRNA from 1 species